CCUACGGGGGGCUGCAGUGGGGAAUAUUGGGCAAUGGGCGCAAGCCUGACCCAGCAAUGCCGCGUGAAGGAAGAAGGCUUUCGGGUUGUAAACUUCUUUGACAGGGGAAGAGCAGAAGACGGUACCCUGAAAACAAGCCACGGCUAACUACGUGCCAGCAGCCGCGGUAAUACGUAGGGGGCAAGCGUUGUCCGGAUUUACGGGGUGUAAAGGGCGUGUAGGCGGGAAGGCAAGUCAGAUGUGAAAUCUGGAGGCUCAAACCCCAACGUGCAUUUGAAACUGUUUUUCUUGAGUACGGGAGAGGCAGACGGAAUGCGUGGUGUAGCGGUGAAAUGCGUAGAUAUAAGGAGGAACACCAGUGGCGAAGGCGGUCUGCUGGACAGCAACUGACGGUGAGGCGCGAAAGCGUGGGGAGCAAACAGGAUUAGAUACCCCGGUAGUC
rnacentral:rRNA from 1 species